CGAAAGCAUCGUUACCCAUCGUGCCACAAAAGCCGCGGCCCUUGCAGAGCAAAGGGGAACAACUACUUAAGGUCGCAGAGCGAGUGACGUCACCCGAUUGAAACGCUACUAGCGCGCACCACCGCUAACCAACUAGCCAUUUCACAUCGGUUACACUUACACAGGCUAGCGAUGAGCCUAUACUCACUAACACUGACCGUACACUGGUACAGGCUAGCGAUGAGUCUAUACUAGCUAGUGAUGACUCUAAAGUGGACACACAGCUGGAAAGACUUCUGGAGACAUGAGAUACCUCACCCACAAUCCCAACCCCACCACACGCCUCGCCGUCCCCCAGGUCCACACCCAGAGAGACAGAGUUACAGUCCUGCACACUGAAAGAGACAGACCAGAGGAACAUACAGGACAGACAAACAGACAGGACACAGGACAGACCAACAGACAGGACACCGGACAGACCAACAGACAGGACAGACCAACAGACAGGACACAGGACAGACCAACAGACAGGACACAGGACAGACCAACAGACAGGACAGACCAACAGACAGGACACAGGACAGACCAACAGACAGGACACCGGACAGACCAACAGACAGGACAGACCAACAGACAAACAGACAGGACAGACCAACAGACAGGACAGACCAACAGACAGGACAGACCAACAGACAGGACAGACCAACAGACAGGACACAGGACAGACCAACAGACAGGACAGACCAACAGACAGGACAGACCAACAGACAGGACAGACCAACAGACAGGACACAGGACAGACCAACAGACAGGACACCGGACAGACCAACAGACAGGACAGACCAACAGACAAACAGACAGUACAGACCAACAGACAGGACAGACCAACAGACAGGACAGACCAACAGACAGGACACAGGACAGACCAACAGACAGGACAGACCAACAGACAGGACAGACCAACAGACAGACCAACAGACAGAACACAGGACAGACCAACAGACAGGACACAGGACAGACCAACAGACAGGACACCGGACAGACCAACAGACAGGACAGACCAGUAGACAGGACACAGGACAGACCAACAGACAGGACAGACCAACAGACAGGACAGACCAACAGACAGGACAGACCAACAGACCAACAGACAAACAGACAGGACAGACCAACAGACAGACCAACAGACAGGACACCGGACAGACCAACAGACAGGACAGACCAACAGACAAACAGACAGGACAGACCAACAGACAGGACAGACCAACAGACAGGACAGACCAACAGACAGGACAGACCAACAGACAAACAGACAGGACAGACCAACAGACAGGACAGACCAACAGACAGGACAGACCAACAGACAGGACAGACCAACAGACAGGACAGACCAACAGACAAACAGAUAGGACAGAGGAUAGACCAACAGACAGGACACAGGGAGACAACAAGGGCGCCAGGCUCGGACCACAAAUCUCUAACCUCUAACCUCUGAACUCUGACCGGGAACAUUUUUUUUGUGACCUGUGAGGUCAUCAAAUGCCUGACCAUCUGGAUUUAGCACACAGAACUCUGGGAAAAACAGCUGCUUCUCACACACACACGCCACUCAGUGU
rnacentral:lncRNA from 1 species